AACGCAUAUUGCACCUUCUGGUAUUCCGGGAGGUACACCUGUUCGAGCGUCAUUUCAACCCUCAAGUUUUACUUGAUGUUGGGAGAAAUCUACGUGAUCCUCCCUAAACUUUUAGGCACCCCUCAGUAAUUUAGAGUGUGACAAAGUCAAAUACUCACUAAAAAUUAUUGGGGUAUGUCAAAAAAUUAGGCGGAAAUUCAUUAAUUUUAAAAUUCUUUUGUAUUUUCUCUCUAAACCAAUAAAAUUUUAGCGGGAUACCCCUAAUAAUUAUUGGUUAAUAGUGAAAUACCCUCUAAAAGUCUUUUGAAUUUACUGUAUACCCUCUAAUUUUUCGUACUUUUGACCUCGGAUCAGGUGGGGAUACCCGCUGAACUUAA
rnacentral:misc_RNA from 1 species